UUUGAAUAGUAGACUGUAAUUAAAAUGCAGAAUAUAAACGUAGGCUAUUUAUCUUACCAAGGAAAUGUUAUCAGAAAACUGUCGCAAAAUAAAAUUCCAGCCCCAGCAGGCCUUACAUCAUUAGUAUCUCACUGAGAAUCGGGUCUGUUUGUUACGCGUUCAGUAAGUUGCCUUUCCUGAUUUCCAACCAUCGACAAUUUAAAAAAACAAACCACUUAUUGAAAAUACAGCAUAACAUUUACACCAUGCGUCAUACGAGCCUCUUCGUGCUCGGUUUGCUGAUAAGCUUUCCAUUGUUGGCGGAAUCGGGAUUAGUUGCUUACGGUGUAUGUCAAACGGGCUGUAACGCUCUGGCAGUUGCAUGUUACGCGGCCGCAGGAUUUACUUUCGGGGUGUCAACGUUUGGUGCAGGCAUACCUGCAGCUAUCGUCGGCUGCAAUGGGGCGUUGGGGAUUUGCAUGGCAGCAUGUGCUGCUACUAUAUUUGCGCCUACGCCAUGACACUACACCCCAUAGGCUCGUGACAUUUUAAAACCUUUAAAAUUUGUUAGAAUAUUUUGUAGUUAAUUUGUGUAUGCACAGUGAAAUUGAAAAUAUAUUAUAGCUUUCGUGGGUAGGCUAAUAAAAUUAUUAUACCUUCAGUCUUACUGGAUGUCUACGAGUCUUUAUCGUGUGAUGUCGUAUAGUAUCUUAUCAUUGGUUAGAAAAUGUCACAGACAACACACUCAAAUCCUAGAACAAUAACAGAUGGCAGUGUGAAUCCGUUUUAUUCAAAAACUCCACAACUAACAGAUUGAGUUUCAUCGAAUUCCAAGUCCAAAAUGGUAAGCCUGAAGUCGGGCCCAAAAAUAAGCCCGACAAAAAUACCACAGACUGCCAUCUGUCGACAAAUGCAUUUUCUGCGUGGAGUGAAACAACACAGAACACACCCGCAAGAGGCGCUCCCACCGGACGGAAAAUCACUCUUCCGCCCCGACCACCCCGACCCAAAACCCCCGUUUUUUGUUUGUAAUUUAUUUAUUUAUGCUAUUACACUAUUUAUACCUUUA